rnacentral:rRNA from 1 species
UGGGGAAUCUUGCACAAUGGGGGAAACCCUGAUGCAGCGACGCCGCGUGAGCGAUGAAGGUUUUCGAAUCGUAAAGCUCUGUCCUAUGGGAAGAUAAUGACGGUACCAUAGGAGGAAGCCCCGGCUAACUACGUGCCAGCAGCCGCGGUAAUACGUAGGGGGCAAGCGUUGUCCGGAAUCACUGGGCGUAAAGGGUUCGCAGGCGGAAAUGCAAGUCAGUUGUGAAAGGCAGAGGCUCAACCUCUGUAAGCAAUUGAAACUGUAUUUCUUGAGAUGUGGAGAGGCAAGUGGAAUUCCUAGUGUAGCGGUGAAAUGCGUAGAUAUUAGGAAGAAUACCGGUGGCGAAGGCGACUUGCUGGACACAAACUGACGCUGAGGAACGAAAGCGUGGGUAGCAAACAGG